CUAAUUGAUCAUAAAUCUAGGCUCAAUUUACAAUUGAUUAUACUAUGCUUAUGCCCAUGAAAUCUACAACCUUGGCUCUAUCUCUCAAAUAAUCAUAAAUCUUUGCUCUGAUACCAAACAUGUAACACCCCACUCCUAAAACUGGGUGAGCGUGCUACACCCUACCCUUAAGAAAGGGUGAAGGAAAUUACUAAUUAUAGCUGAGCUAAUAAUCUG
rnacentral:lncRNA from 1 species